GCUCCCAUGGCCUAGAGGUUAGAGCAUCCGCCUUGGAUGCGGAAGUUCAUGGGUCCGAUCUACGGUGGAGUCA